UACGAAGGGGGCUAGCGUUGCUCGGAAUCACUGGGCGUAAAGCGCACGUAGGCGGAUUGUUAAGUCAGGGGUGAAAUCCUGGAGCUCAACUCCAGAACUGCCUUUGAUACUGGCGAUCUUGAGUCCGGGGAGAGGUGAGUGGAACUGCGAGUGUAGAGGUGAAAUUCGUAGAUAUUCGCAAGAACACCAGUGGCGAAGGCGGCUCACUGGCCCGGGUACUGACGCUGAGGUGCGAAAGCGUGGGGAGCAAACAGG
rnacentral:rRNA from 1 species